AGAGAAGAGUAGAUGGGAGUUGUUGGAAUUGGUACUUGCUUCUCGAUGGCCUGUGAACAGCAUUGUGGAAGCUGUUAAGAAUUGUUUGAAAAGACUUGAGGAACACCUACUACAUUAUUCUGCUCGCUGUAUUCCAGCAUUAAGAAAGCCUGGGAACCCAUUACUCAUGCUUUUGAAGAUUUUCCAUCACAGUACUAGUGGAGAAGAGUGAACAUGUCCUUCCCAGGAGCCUGAAAUAGUACCUGAAGGUUCCUCCAGAAGCAGUCCUUGAGCUAAGGAUUUGGGCAUAAGUGGUUUGUUAAUGCCCAGCCCCAGAAGAAGAAACCAGUAAGGGAGUAGAAGAAGCAGACUGGGGAGACGGAAGAACCUAAGAGAGGGCUAACAAGAUUGUGGACUAGAUGGUUUUGUAAAAGUAUUAUAAGCACGACAAUCGGAGAAACUCUCGAUUUCCUAACGAGUACAUGGGCCCGUACCUAAGUAAUUCACAUCGGUUCUUGUCCAUCUCAUCGUAC